rnacentral:tRNA from 1 species
CAGUAAAUAGUUUAUAUAAAACUUUAAUUUUGGAGAUUAAUAAUAGGGUUAAUCCUUUUACUGA